GAUUAACGCUGGCGGCGUGCCUAACACAUGCAAGUCGUACGACCCGAUAGUAAUAUUGGGGAGUGGCGAACGGGUGAGUAACGCGUGGGCAACCUACCCUUGAACGGGGAACAACCUCGGGAAAUCGGGGCUAAUACCGCAUAAUGUUCCGUUUCAUAAGGAACGGGACUAAAGGUCUUGUAAGAGACUGUUUGAGGAUGGGCCCGCGACCUAUUAGCUUGUUGGUAGGGUAACGGCCUACCAAGGCGACGAUGGGUAGCCGGCCUGAGAGGGUGAACGGCCACACUGGGAUUGAGAUACGGCCCAGACUCCUACGGGAGGCAGCAGUGGGGAAUUUUGGACAAUGGGGGAAACCCUGAUCCAGCGACGCCGCGUGAGGGAUGAAGGCCUUCGGGUUGUAAACCUCUGUCAGAGAGGACGAAUUAGACGGUACUCUCAGAGGAAGCCACGGCUAACUCCGUGCCAGCAGCCGCGGUAAUACGGAGGUGGCGAGCGUUAUCCGGAUUCAUUGGGCGUAAAGGGCGCGUAGGUGUCUCCAUAAGUCGGAUGUGAAAUCCUUCUGCUCAACAGAAGAAUGGCAUUCGAAACUGUGGAGAUUGAGUACAGAAGAGGAGAGUGGAAUUCCUGGUGUAGCGGUGAAAUGCGUAGAUAUCAGGAGGAACACCGGUGGCGAAGGCGACUCUCUGGUCUGAUACUGACACUGAGGCGCGAAAGCUAGGGGAGCAAACAGGAUUAGAUACCCUGGUAGUCCUAGCCAUAAACGAUGCUCACUAGGUGUGGGAGGUAUCGAUUCCUUCUGUGCCGAAGCUAACGCAUUAAGUGAGCCGCCUGGGGAGUACGACCGCAAGGUUG
rnacentral:rRNA from 1 species